AUUGAACGCUGGCGGCAUGCUUUACACAUGCAAGUCGAACGGUAACAGGGUGCUUGCACCGCUGACGAGUGGCGAACGGGUGAGUAAUGCGUCGGAACGUGCCGAGUAGUGGGGGACAACGCAGCGAAAGUUGUGCUAAUACCGCAUACGUACUGAGGUAGAAAGUGGGGGACCUUCGGGCCUCACGCUAUUCGAGCGGCCGACGUCUGAUUAGCUAGUAGGUGAGGUAAAGGCUCACCUAGGCGACGAUCAGUAGCGGGUCUGAGAGGAUGAUCCGCCACACUGGGACUGAGACACGGCCCAGACUCCUACGGGAGGCAGCAGUGGGGAAUUUUGGACAAUGGGCGAAAGCCUGAUCCAGCCAUGCCGCGUGUCUGAAGAAGGCCUUCGGGUUGUAAAGGACUUUUGCCGGGGAGGAAAUCCCCAGCGUUAAUACCGCUGGGGGAUGACAGUACCCGAAGAAUAAGCACCGGCUAACUACGUGCCAGCCGCCGCCGUAAUAC
rnacentral:rRNA from 1 species